AGUGAACGCUGGCGGUAGGCCUAACACAUGCAGGUCGAACGGCAGCACAGUAAGAGCUUGCUCUUACGGGUGGCGAGUGGCGGACGGGUGAGGAAUACAUCGGAAUCUACUUUUUCGUGGGGGAUAACGUAGGGAAACUUACGCUAAUACCGCAUACGACCUACGGGUGAAAGCAGGGGAUCUUCGGACCUUGCGCGAUUGAAUGAGCCGAUGUCGGAUUAGCUAGUUGGCGGGGUAAAGGCCCACCAAGGCGACGAUCCGUAGCUGGUCUGAGAGGAUGAUCAGCCACACUGGAACUGAGACACGGUCCAGACUCCUACGGGAGGCAGCAGUGGGGAAUAUUGGACAAUGGGCGCAAGCCUGAUCCAGCUAUACCGCGUGGGUGAAGAAGGCCUUCGGGUUGUAAAGCCCUUUUGUUGGGAAAGAAAAGCAGCAGGUUAAUACCCCGCUGUUCUGACGGUACCCAAAGAAUAAGCACCGGCUAACUUCGU
rnacentral:rRNA from 1 species